UGUCCUGUAGUGUAAUUGGCAACACGUCUGACUCUGGAUCAGAAGAGUCUAGGUUCGACCCCUAGCAGGACAACCA
rnacentral:tRNA from 1 species